rnacentral:tRNA from 1 species
GCGGGGGUGGUCCUCCGGGGUGGGGACCCGCUUCGGAAGCCCGUAGACGGCGGUGGAGGAGAUGUGCACGACCCGUUCGACGCGGGCCCGCCGCGC